rnacentral:rRNA from 1 species
CCUCGGGUGGCUGCAGUGGGGAAUAUUGGACAAUGGGCGAAAGCCUGAUCCAGCCAUGCCGCGUGUGUGAAGAAGGCCUUCGGGUUGUAAAGCACUUUCAGUGGGGAAGAAAGCCUUGGGGCUAAUACCCUCGAGGAAGGACAUCACCCACAGAAGAAGCACCGGCUAACUCCGUGCCAGCAGCCGCGGUAAUACGGAGGGUGCGAGCGUUAAUCGGAAUUACUGGGCGUAAAGCGCGCGUAGGCGGUCUGAUAAGCCGGUUGUGAAAGCCCCGGGCUCAACCUGGGAACGGCAUCCGGAACUGUCAGGCUAGAGUGCAGGAGAGGAAGGUAGAAUUCCCGGUGUAGCGGUGAAAUGCGUAGAGAUCGGGAGGAAUACCAGUGGCGAAGGCGGCCUUCUGGACUGACACUGACGCUGAGGUGCGAAAGCGUGGGUAGCAUACAGGAUUAGAUACCCGAGUAGUC